GUUUCAAUCUAGAAGCAUUGCAGGUGUGGCUGCUGUGUCACAUGCGUGUCAGUAGGUGGCAGAGUGGAGCAGAGCUAUGUCUAUGCUCAGUGUUCUGACCUAGGAACAGCUGAAGGACUAAUAGCCUAGCAGU